CUGAGGUCCUUCCCCAUAAACUCCGGAGCUGAAUGAAACUUUCCUGCUGUUCAGAGCCCUCCUGGGACAUCUUAAAGCUGUUCAGUUUUCAAAUGGACAUAAAUCCCUAAAGGCAUUUCUGAAACAUGUUCUCCCCUCUGCCGAAUCUGUUCUGAGAAUCUUCCACACGACCUCUGUGUAUUCCAAGAACUCACCAUGAGGACCAGCCCUUCCAUGCCCUCUGAGGGAGCUCUAUCAAGAUGAAACUGAAAGGGAACAUUAUACUAAACCCACUUAGUUAUUUAGAAUAUAAUGGCCGUUCAAAUUUUGUUCCGACUUUAUUUUUUGGCACUUUUAUUUUGAUAAUAAAGAAACUAUAGUUUCGUGGGGCACUUUGGGUAAUUUAAGAUGGCGUUUUACUAGCAGCCCGUGGUUUUGCGCGACUUUUGAAAGUUGGAAGACGCCGAAUGUCAGCAAUUCUUCAACCGUUUUCCCUAAAUACAUGAAUAUUGUUUGCUUGGAAUAACGGUUUGCCUUUAAUAACCUUUUUAUUUACAAUGCCGUUUCUGUCACUCGUUAUUAAAUGAACUCUGAACACAAAUCUAAAUGACUGGAUUCUUGGACGGAUUGUGUAUGCAAAUAUAUACCGCGGCCCUGUUUCAUGAAGCGGGAUUAAUUAGUUAUCUUGAUAAUUGCGCUGAAUGAAACCCGGAACAAAUCUGGAACAUGGACUGAAGUAAAAAGAGCUGUUGAUGGUUUUACUCAUCGUAGUUAUCCAGCUCAGUAAUCCUGCUUCGUGGAAUAUCACCCAGAUCUGGAUGGAUUGCGGAUUCAUCUACUGCUCGUUUGGAACAACGCUGACGAACCUGCUGCCUUUCCCGUUUCCUUAGAGCUCAUCACUUAGGGCUGAGAGGACGAGGUGCUCCGACAGGGCGGACUGACGAUGUCAUGGGCCAGGAUGUCCAUCACAGCAAGCGGGAGGACUAGCAGGGCGAGCGCUGCUCUUCCAAACUCACACGUCUCCGUCCUUCAGGGACCUCCAUGUUCAUCUGCAUUCUGCCACAACUCUUGAGUAAAACCGCCAUUUGAGGGCAGAAAAUAAACCACGAAUCCAUUAUGCCUGACCUUCAUGCAUUUUCA